AGCGAACGCUGGCGGCAGGCCUAACACAUGCAAGUCGAACGAACUCUUCGGAGUUAGUGGCGGACGGGUGAGUAACACGUGGGAACGUGCCUUUUGGUUCGGAAUAACUCAGGGAAACUUGUGCUAAUACCGAAUGUGCUCUUCGGGGGAAAGAUUUAUCGCCAUUAGAGCGGCCCGCGUCUGAUUAGCUAGUUGGUGAGGUAACGGCUCACCAAGGCGACGAUCAGUAGCUGGUCUGAGAGGAUGACCAGCCACACUGGGACUGAGACACGGCCCAGACUCCUGCGGGAGGCAGCAAUGGGGAAUCUAGCGCAAUGGGCGAAAUCCUGACGCAGCCAUGCCGGGUGAAUGAUGAAGGUCUUAGGAUUGUAAAAUUCUUUCACCGGGGACGAUAAUGACGGUACCCGGAGAAGAAGCCCCGGCUAACUUCGUG
rnacentral:rRNA from 1 species